CAGGUGCUGUGAAGUAGACUGUGUUGCUGUUUGCUGUGGGCUGUCUGACCGCAGAGCAGUAGCUUGAUGAUCGAGCGAGAUUAGAUCAUCACCCAAAAUUAUUCACCUCACUGCAGGUAAAGACAAUAAGAAAACUAGGCAACGUAUCAUUUGAACAGAACCUCGCAUCUCCAAAAAGUUUCUCUAGCACUUCCUCAGUGGUCAGUUUCCAAAGUUGGCUGGAUAUUUUUGGUUGACAGACCACCCUCAACCCAGGAAUGACACUGAAACUGUGUGGAAACCACAGCAAUGCUGUUGUGCCUGAUAUACACAUACAAACAGUUUUGUUGAACAACCUUCUUCCCAUUGGCUCCCGAGUGACACAACCGUCUAAGCGUUGGUCCUACCAUCAGGAGAUCGCUAUAGGUCCCCCAUGGUGUAAACGCCUUGAGAUUCUCAUCAAACAUUUUAAGUAUCUCUCACUCAUAGCUCCAACAAACAAGAGGAGGAAUUGUGUCAAAAGUGCAGAUUCAAAGUUCUGAAUCAACGCUACAUUAGUGUGUUGUCACAAGACUUCUGACCAGAUGCACCAGGGUAUCACAUUCCUCUAAGAGAAGAUCAAAGCUCAUGUGUUAGUCGUACUGGGAGAAGGAGAAGUUGACUGUGUCAGUUCUAAUGGUGAGCCAGACCUAGGCCUUCAUUUAAUGGUCCAUUAAAGUCAAAACUCAAGUCAAAAGAAGGGGGAAAAAAUCUCUAUACUAAAGCCAAUUUCCAUAGCACUCCAAUGGGAUUCCAGUAUGUUAACGUUAACCUGAUGCUCAUUCAUAUGAACAUUUUUUGCCAUUCCAGUUCAAACAUGGACAUUUGAAGCUUGUAAGAGACAUUCUAUGAUUUAUUUGAAAUGUGUAACUGCCAAUUUAAAUGAACACGUUUACAGUCUUGCAGUGACUCAGUUAAGAGCUCUGGCAUGCAGCUGCUGCUAUUUUCCAUUUCUAACAACUGACUGAAGCCUGGUUAGCCUACCACUCAUAUUCCCAGUAAGUGAUGUAUCAAGGACUUUCAGAAAGCAUAGAUUGACCUUUUUUUCCUCUUAAAUUGGUUUCGCCCAUUGGAAAUCAAUGUAUGAUUGGUUGAUUCUAUUAUUAGUUCCUAAUUACAUAAGUGUUUAAUCUAAGAGAUUAAGACUUCUGUCCAGCUCCUGAAGUCCCACCAGUGAGAGAGUUCACUUGACUGCACCUACCUACAUCCCAUUAGGGAAAAAAAUCCUGAUUGGGUGUUACAAGAUUUUAGCCAUUUCCAGCUUAAUAAUGAAGCAAGAGUGUGAAUGCUUGGUUGGCAUAGUGGUUGGUAUAGUGUAGUGGGUAAGUCUACGCUGUAGACUGGGGUUCAAUUCCAGCCUGGGUAAACACCCUACACCAGGGGUGUCAAACUGGUGUUCCAACCAAGCAGAAGCUGUACCUGAUAGUCUUUUUAAAGCCAGGAUCAACUAACUAACCAGGUAGAAUCAGGUGUGGCUUCUGCUUGGUUGGAAUGAAAACCUGCACCCAUACCGGCCCUUUCUGGAUCCAGUUUGACACCCCUGCCCUACACUAUACUAAAAAGAGUCCUUGGACAAGACUCCUAACACUAUCUUCACCCACCUGUGUAAAUUGAUCAAACUGUAAGUUACUCUGGAUAAGAGCGUCUGCCAAAUGCCAUAAAAUACUUGCAGAGCUUAAAUACAAUAAUCAAGCUUGUUCUUGGACACCCCUCCUCAAAUUGAGCUCCAUAAGGACAUGAUUUGACAAGUUUGGUGUGGAGGAACUCCAGUAGCCUACAGAAAGCCCUGACCUCAACCCCACUGGGAUACUCAUUGCAAACCAGGCCUUCUCAUCCAACAUCAGUGCCUGACCUCACAAAUGCUCUUUUGACAGAAUGGCCACAAAUUCACACAGACGCACUCCAAAAUCUCGUGGAAAGCCUUGUUUGAACAGUGGAGGCUGUUAUUGCUGCAGAAAGAGGGUGAAUUCCAUAUUGUUGUCCAUGGUUUUAGAAUGAGAUUUCCAACUCAUGCAAGUAUGAUGUUCAGGUGUCCACAUACUUUUGGCCAUAUAGUGUAACACAUAAACCAAGCCCUGAGGGUUCCCCUCUCGUCAGUUCACAUUUAUAGCUGAGAACUGGCCACAGAAAGAAAACAGAAAAGAGAACUUUAUGUGAAAUACCAGAUAUGUGAUAGCAAAAGAUAGAAAUUGGCUUUGUUGGCCUGCCAUCCUAGUUUUGAAUUUGACCUAAUCUGAAAUGAACUUGUCUUAACCUUGAUAUCUAAAUGAAGUGCUCUGUAUUUUGUCCUUCACUCAUACACACUACUAAACGUGAAUUCUUUGGCUUGAUGUUUUGAUUUUAAUGGCAAUUCAUAACAUGCUUGAGCAUAACAUGCAAUUUCCCCCUGGGAUCAAUAAAGGAAUCUGAAUGUCUCUGCACUGUGUGUACAUGGGUUUACUGUAAAUAUGUGAAGUAUAUGUUAUUAUUUGUACACAAUGUCAGGGCCUUCUGCUACUGUACUGUCCAAAUUUCCCUCAGAGAACAAGAAUACGUAUAAUCUGUUGGCUGCUCUGAAUCCUAGGUAUAUUUUGAAGAAGUUCUAAUGUAUUGUUAGUUCUUAGGAAAUGCUACCUAUUCAGUUUCAGAUUGUGCUGUGCUCCAACCAAGGAGGAACUGUAAUCCAACUUCUCCAAACAUCAGUGUUCAUGUAAGGAGAGAAAAAGGGAACCAUGAAAAAG